rnacentral:rRNA from 1 species
CCAAUAGCGUAUAUUAAAGUUGUUGCAGUUAAAAAGCUCGUAGUUGAAUUUCGGGGUUAGUAGGUUGGUCAUGCCUCUGGUAUGUACUGGUCUCACUGAUUCCUCCUUCCUGAUGAGCCGUAAUGCCAUUAAUUUGGUGUUGCGGGGAAUUUGGACUGUUACUUUGAAAAAAUUAGAGUGUUUAAAGCACGCUUACGAUUGAAUACAUUAGCAUGGAAUAAGUAACUAGGACGUUCGAUCCUAUUUUGUUGGUUUCUAGGAUUGACGUAAUGAUUAAUAGGGAUAGUUGGGGGCAUUAGUAUUCAAUUGUCAGAGGUGAAAUUCUUGGAUUUAUUGAAGACUAACUACUGCGAAAGCAUUUGCCAAGGAUGUUUUCAUUAAUCAAGAACGAAAGUUAGGGGAUCGAAGACGAUCAGAUACCGUCGUAGUCUUAACCAUAAACUAUGCCGACUAGGGAUCGGAUGAUGUUAAUUUUUUAAUGACUCAUUCGGCGCCUUACG